CGGCUAACACGGGGCCGGAGGAGGGGGGAAGACGUAGGGGGUAGUCGUUGUCCGUAAUUAUGGGGCGUAAAGGCGACGCUGGCGGUGAUUGAAGUCGGGUGUUUAAGGCCGGGGCUCAACCCAGGUUCGCAUCCGAAACUGGAUGACUUGAGUGUAGGAGAGGAAAGUGGAAUUCGACGUGUAGCGGUGAAAGGCGUAGAGAUGUGGAGGAGCACCAGUGGCGAAGGCGACUUUCUGGCCUAUAACUGACGCUGAGGCGCGAAAGCGUGGGGAGCAAACAGGAUUAGAUACCCGGGUAGUC
rnacentral:rRNA from 1 species